UACAGAGGUGCCAAGCGUUAGGCGGAAUCACUGGGCUUAAAGCGCGUGUAGGUGGAUGGGUAAGUACCUUGUGAAAUCCCACGGCUCAACCGUGGAACUGCUUGGUAUACUGCUUGUCUUGAGGCACUCAGGGGCAGCUGGAACAAAUGGUGGAGCGGUGAAAUGCGUAGAUAUCAUUUGGAACGCCAAAGGUGAAAACAGGCUGCUGGGAGUGAUCUGACACUGAGACGCGAAAGCCAGGGGAGCAAACGGG
rnacentral:rRNA from 1 species